UACAGAGGUCUCGAGCGUUGUUCGGAUUCAUUGGGCGUAAAGGGUGCGUAGGUGGCUAGGUAAGUCGGAUGUGAAAUCUCGGGGCUCAACCCCGAAACUGCAUUCGAUACUGCCUGGCUAGAGUACUGGAGAGGAGAUUGGAAUUUACGGUGUAGCAGUGAAAUGCGUAGAUAUCCUAAGGAACACCGGGUGGCGAAGGCGGCUCACUGGGUCUCUUCUGACGCUGAGGCACGAAAGCUAGGGUAGCGAACGGG
rnacentral:rRNA from 1 species